UACGGGGGGGGCAAGCGUUGUUCGGAAUUACUGGGCGUAAAGGGCUCGUAGGCGGCCAACUAAGUCAGACGUGAAAUCCCUCGGCUUAACCGGGGAACUGCGUCUGAUACUGGAUGGCUUGAGUGCAGAAGAGGAAAGCGGAAUUCCACGUGUAGCGGUGAAAUGCGUAGAGAUGUGGAGGAACACCAGUGGCGAAGGCGGCUUUCUGGUCUGUAACUGACGCUGAGGCGCGAAAGCGUGGGGAGCAAACAGG
rnacentral:rRNA from 1 species